GGUGAGUUGCAAGGUCUGAGUGUUUGAGACUCGCGGUUAAAUUUAAUUUAACUCAGAUGCUGUAAUAAGAUACUUGGUACAAGCUCUGUACUAGAGAUGAAGUAAUCUCACGAUACAAUUUGAACUGUAAAUCUUGAAUAAAGAUUUGUUUUCCUGCAUGCGCAAUUGAUCAUGUACGUUUCAAGAUAAGUAGAAAUUGAAAUUUUGAGAUGUAGAUCUAUAUGUAUACAUAUAUUGAUAUAUUUUGAACUAUUAAUGUUGAUAAGGAACAAAUAAUCCAAGUCAUUUCUAUGAAGCUAAAAAGGGGUAAAUUAAUUAUUAAUUUAAAGGAGCCAUGUUAAUGUGAUCGUUUAUGAGAGUUAGUUUAUCUGACAAAAAGGAGUAUUCUGACUUACGUCAUGGGCUGAAAUAGCGCCAUCUACGCUUUCCUAAUUCCGACAUAGCAGUAGCAACGAAUUGGAUGUUCGCACCGAAAUCUUGUCCUAAAUUACACCUGUUAUUGAUACGAAGCCAACCCGUUUGCAACAAUAAGGAGGCAAGAAGUUUUCACGGAGCAAGUGUGAUGGAAUUAGUUGACAUAGAAUAAAUUAGCAAGUCAACCCUACUACGACUUUUCAUUGACUGUUUCUUCAC